AGGCGGUUCGUUCACAUGGGAGGACGCUCCCGCACGGGAGAAAAGCCGGUUCGAUUCCGGCACCGCCUG
rnacentral:tRNA from 1 species